rnacentral:rRNA from 1 species
GAUGAACGCUGGCGGCGUGCCUAAUACAUGCAAGUCGAGCGAACGGACGAGAAGCUUGCUUCUCUGAUGUUAGCGGCGGACGGGUGAGUAACACGUGGAUAACCUACCUAUAAGACUGGGAUAACUUCGGGAAACCGGAGCUAAUACCGGCUAAUAUUUUGAACCGCAUGGUUCAAAAGUGAAAGACGGUCUUGCUGUCACUUAUAGAUGGAUCCGCGCUGCAUUAGCUAGUUGGUAAGGUAACGGCCUACCAAGGCAACGAUGCAUAGCUGACCUGAGAGGGUGAUCGGCCACACUGGAACUGAGACACGGUCCAGACUCCUACGGGAGGCAGCAGUAGGGAAUCUUCCGCAAUGGGCGAAAGCCUGACGGAGCAACGCCGCGUGAGUGAUGAAGGUCUUCGGAUUGUAAAACUCUUUUAUUAGGGAAGAACAGAUGUGUAAGUAACUGUGCACAUCUUGACGGUACCUAAUCAGAAAGCCACGGCUAACUUCGUG